rnacentral:tRNA from 2 species
CUUAGCUCAGUCGGUUAGAGCAUCUGACUGUUAAUCAGGGGGUCCAAGGUUCAAGUCCUUG